rnacentral:tRNA from 1 species
UAAAAUUUUAAGUUAUUUAAACUAAAAGCCUUCAAAGCUUUCAAAAAAAGGGAAUCUUUUAAAUUUUAA